rnacentral:rRNA from 1 species
GACGAACGCUGGCGGCGUGCUUAACACAUGCAAGUCGAACGGGCCUGUCUUCUUUUUUGGGGGGUGGGUUGAGUGGCGAACGGGUGAGUAUCACGUGAGUAACCUGCCCUUCGGUCCUGGAUAACCGCUUGAAAGGGCGGCUAAUACGGGGUGGUCCGGUUGGUCCGCAUGGGCUGGUCGGGAUAGAUUCACUGUUUUUGGUGUUUCGGCGGGGGAUGGGCUCGCGGCCUAUCAGCUUGUUGGUGGGGUGAUGGCCUACCAAGGCGGUGACGGGUAGCCGGCCUGAGAGGGUGGGCGGCCACACUGGGACUGAGAUACGGCCCAGACUCCUGCGGGAGGGAGCAGUGGGGGGUAUUGCACAAUGGGCGGGAGCCUGAUGCAGCGACGUCGCGUGAGGGAUGGAGGCCUUCGGGUUGUGAACCUCUGUUUCCGGUGGUGAAGGCCCUGUCCGUGUGGUGGGGUUGACGGUAGCCGGGGAUGAAGCGCCGGCUAACUACGUG